UUACUUUCAUACAUUGCAUAAAGGCCCAUUGCAAUUGUCCUGACUCUCAUUUCAGAAAAUCAAAGAAAUCUAUAUGUCAGCCAGGCACAUGAGUGUUGCUCAUCCAGUGUACAGGGCUUGACGAUCUGACUGAGCACAGCCAUCGUGGACACAAAACUUCUUUAUGUAAGAAGAAAACUGCAAUAGCAGCACUUUCACAUUUCAUCUGUUGUCACCAAAAACAGGAAUUAGGGGAGCAGAUCCUAUGCCCAACGGUACCUGUUUGGGUCCUUCUUAUUCCAUGUAAGGAGAUGCUGGUUGCCACAGGCCUGCUGGGGAGAUGGUCAUCAUAG
rnacentral:lncRNA from 1 species